UACAGGGGGUGCAAACGUUGCUCGGAAUCAUUGGGCGUAAAGCGCACGUAGGCGGUUCGUUAUGUCGGAUGUGAAAGCCCUUGGCUUAACCGAGGAAGUGCAUCCGAAACUGGCGAGCUAGAGUACGAAAGAGGAUCGCGGAAUUCCCGGUGUAGAGGUGAAAUUCGUAGAUAUCAGGAGGAACACCGGUGGCGAAGGCGGGUCUCUGGGCCAAAACUGACGCUGAGGAGCGAAAGCGUGGGGAGCGAACAGG
rnacentral:rRNA from 1 species